rnacentral:rRNA from 1 species
GGGUUGUGAGGUUAAGCGACUAAGCGUACACGGUGGAUGCCCUGGCAGUCAGAGGCGAUGAAGGACGUGCUAAUCUGCGAUAAGCGUCGGUAAGGUGAUAUGAACCGUUAUAACCGGCGAUUUCCGAAUGGGGAAACCCAGUGUGAUUCGUCACACUAUCAUUAACUGAAUCCAUAGGUUAAUGAGGCGAACCGGGGGAACUGAAACAUCUAAGUACCCCGAGGAAAAGAAAUCAACCGAGAUUCCCCCAGUAGCGGCGAGCGAACGGGGAGCAGCCCAGAGCCUGAAUCAGUGUGUGUGUUAGUGGAAGCGUCUGGAAAGGCGCGCGAUACAGGGUGACAGCCCCGUACACAAAAAUGCACAUGCUGUGAGCUCGAUGAGUAGGGCGGGACACGUGGUAUCCUGUCUGAAUAUGGGGGGACCAUCCUCCAAGGCUAAAUACUCCUGACUGACCGAUAGUGAACCAGUACCGUGAGGGAAAGGCGAAAAGAACCCCGGCGAGGGGAGUGAAAAAGAACCUGAAACCGUGUACGUACAAGCAGUGGGAGCACGCUUAGGCGUGUGACUGCGUACCUUUUGUAUAAUGGGUCAGCGACUUAUAUUCUGUAGCAAGGUUAACCGAAUAGGGGAGCCGAAGGGAAACCGAGUCUUAACUGGGCGUUAAGUUGCAGGGUAUAGACCCGAAACCCGGUGAUCUAGCCAUGGGCAGGUUGAAGGUUGGGUAACACUAACUGGAGGACCGAACCGACUAAUGUUGAAAAAUUAGCGGAUGACUUGUGGCUGGGGGUGAAAGGCCAAUCAAACCGGGAGAUAGCUGGUUCUCCCCGAAAGCUAUUUAGGUAGCGCCUCGUGAAUUCAUCUCCGGGGGUAGAGCACUGUUUCGGCAAGGGGGUCAUCCCGACUUACCAACCCGAUGCAAACUGCGAAUACCGGAGAAUGUUAUCACGGGAGACACACGGCGGGUGCUAACGUCCGUCGUGAAGAGGGAAACAACCCAGACCGCCAGCUAAGGUCCCAAAGUCAUGGUUAAGUGGGAAACGAUGUGGGAAGGCCCAGACAGCCAGGAUGUUGGCUUAGAAGCAGCCAUCAUUUAAAGAAAGCGUAAUAGCUCACUGGUCGAGUCGGCCUGCGCGGAAGAUGUAACGGGGCUAAACCAUGCACCGAAGCUGCGGCAGCGACGCUGAUGCGUUGUUGGGUAGGGGAGCGUUCUGUAAGCCUGCGAAGGUGUGCUGUGAGGCAUGCUGGAGGUAUCAGAAGUGCGAAUGCUGACAUAAGUAACGAUAAAGCGGGUGAAAAGCCCGCUCGCCGGAAGACCAAGGGUUCCUGUCCAACGUUAAUCGGGGCAGGGUGAGUCGACCCCUAAGGCGAGGCCGAAAGGCGUAGUCGAUGGGAAACAGGUUAAUAUUCCUGUACUUGGUGUUACUGCGAAGGGGGGACGGAGAAGGCUAUGUUGGCCGGGCGACGGUUGUCCCGGUUUAAGCGUGUAGGCUGGUUUUCCAGGCAAAUCCGGAAAAUCAAGGCUGAGGCGUGAUGACGAGGCACUACGGUGCUGAAGCAACAAAUGCCCUGCUUCCAGGAAAAGCCUCUAAGCAUCAGGUAACAUCAAAUCGUACCCCAAACCGACACAGGUGGUCAGGUAGAGAAUACCAAGGCGCUUGAGAGAACUCGGGUGAAGGAACUAGGCAAAAUGGUGCCGUAACUUCGGGAGAAGGCACGCUGAUAUGUAGGUGAAGUCCCUCGCGGAUGGAGCUGAAAUCAGUCGAAGAUACCAGCUGGCUGCAACUGUUUAUUAAAAACACAGCACUGUGCAAACACGAAAGUGGACGUAUACGGUGUGACGCCUGCCCGGUGCCGGAAGGUUAAUUGAUGGGGUCAGCGCAAGCGAAGCUCUUGAUCGAAGCCCCGGUAAACGGCGGCCGUAACUAUAACGGUCCUAAGGUAGCGAAAUUCCUUGUCGGGUAAGUUCCGACCUGCACGAAUGGCGUAAUGAUGGCCAGGCUGUCUCCACCCGAGACUCAGUGAAAUUGAACUCGCUGUGAAGAUGCAGUGUACCCGCGGCAAGACGGAAAGACCCCGUGAACCUUUACUAUAGCUUGACACUGAACAUUGAGCCUUGAUGUGUAGGAUAGGUGGGAGGCUUUGAAGUGUGGACGCCAGUCUGCAUGGAGCCGACCUUGAAAUACCACCCUUUAAUGUUUGAUGUUCUAACGU